GCUCUCGUUCUAACCUCUGGAAUUAUCAUCAUCCAUUCACCACACCGGACUCUGGCUGUUUCCCCCUAAUGUACCACUCAGAUCUAUUCAAGAACGGAACUGUUCCCAUGACCUUCCCACUCCAGAAAAACAAGAAGAUCUUUUAACCUGUACAAUCUGAUCUUAAUUUGAAAAUAAAUACAAUUUCUUUAUGUG